UUCGAUUUGAACCGCGGCGAGCUCGGCCCGUUUUCUUUUGAGGGUAAGGUUUGAUGCCACCGCCCCGGACUUCUGAGCGUGUGAGAGUGGAGGCAGUGCCGCGGCGUUGGUUGCGGAGGUCGGUGGUGAGCCCACGAUGGACGACGGCGCGUGCGGUAUCUAGAGGGGCAGAUUUUAGAUUGAGAUUGGUGGAGCCCACCUUGGCACCAUCGAAGGACAGAAUUGGAAUAGUGGCGACCUCUGAACGGAUGGUGGCAGUGGCAGCGACGGAGUGUUGUUUGGGGGAUCUGAAAAGGAGGUGCUUUGAGGAUUGGAUGUUGGGGUAAGAGAGGA
rnacentral:lncRNA from 1 species